rnacentral:lncRNA from 1 species
CCUAAAUGUGAGACAAUUGUGAAAAGUGGAGGACAGAGCCACCUGGUUAAAUACAGCCCCAGCUUUCUGGUGAGAGGACUGAAACCAAGAUGUGUCAAGUAACUAGAAUGUGCCUGGACAGAUACUGUAGAAAGCAAAACCAUAAAGUUGUUCAUGAGCUUGUGGACGCACCUGCCAGCUGUGAAUAAGUGGCUCUAAUCCCGAACAACUUACCUAAAAAGAGCCUGAGAGCUGAACUGUGCAAUGGCCCACUUUCCAGUCCUCACUGACCACUGGGUUGCACACACUUUGGAGAUCUCUGAACAGCAGUGUCAAGGCUUUCAAAUAGAGUUAUCUUUGAAACGACAACACAUGAAAGUCUGGUUGGUACUUGGAGCUUAAAUACAAGGCAAUUGUGUGCCUGCAAAAACAAAAAUAGCAAUAUUAUCCUUAAGAUUUCAACAAGACACAGUGUCUCAUCACAUAAUCCAAAGAAGUCCAGGUUACAAGCCCCACAAUAUUCAGCAUUAUGAAAAAACAGGGAGAUCUUAAUUCACAUGGCAAAGAGAAUCCUCGAAUAACAAUAUUGAGAGGACACAGAUGUCAAAAUCAUCUGACACAUACAUUAAAGCAGAUAUUAUAACAAUGCUCCUAGAAUCGGGGAUAACAUUCGUGAAGUGAAUGGAAAGUUGGAAAGUCUCACCAAAUAUUUCGAAUACAUAAACACCAAUUUAAACUUAAGAAUUAAAAAAAUGUAUUAACCAAAACUCUUAGGGGAAAUAAAAAGCUUAAUUGGAGGAUCUCCAUAAUCGAAUGCAGAAGACUAAGGAAAAAGUCAAUGAACUUGAAAACAGAACACGAAUACCUACAUAAUCUGAACUAUAGAGAGAAAGGAGGAUUUUAUUGUCUCUGAACAGAGGCUCAGGCACAAAUAAAAAAUAACAAAUCCAACAUUCACAUUAUUGUAAUCUGGAAAGAAGAGGACAAAGUGGUCUUUGUGGGAUAAAACUUUGAACAAUUAAUAGCUGAAAAUGGUUCAAAUUUGUCAAAAGAUAUAAACCAGAUUUUUAAAGUUCAGUAAAUGUCAAUCAGGAUAAACCCAAAGAAACCCAUAGCAAGGCAUAUCAUAAUCAAACUGCUGAAAACUAAGAAAAUACAAAACAAUUUUGAAAGCAGCCAAAGGGAAAUGAAAGAGAAACUACCAAAUGAAUGAUUGUAGAUUUCGCAUCAGGAACCAUAGGGGCCAGAAAAAAUGUCAUAACAUUCGGUAAGUAACAAAAGAAAAAGACAUAUCGACCCAGAAUGCUAUGUGGAGCAAAAGUAUCUUCCAGACAUAAAGGCAAAUAAAUGCAUUCUCAGUGGAAGGUAAGUAAAUACAUUCUCAUUCUUAGGAAGACUGCUGGAAAAGAAUUAGCAAAGAUUUGAGAUAAGAAAAAUGAUACCAGAAGGAAACUUAGAACAUCAUCAGUGAAGGAACAAAAGCAGAAAUAGAACAUGUCUGGGUAGACAUAACAGACUAUUAUUCUUCCCUUGAGUUCCUUAAGGAGACUACGGAAAAGAAGAGUGACUAAGAUCUCUGAAGAAGGGAAAAGCUAGAUGACUGGGCCACAAGAGAAAAAAAGCAGCAAGACAGAGAUUUGUUGGUGCCAACUAAAUGAGCCCAACAGCCAGUGACAACAGAACUGCACUAAAAAAAGUCCCUCAUCAGCUCUUGAGAGCAGGUUCCUUAAAGGUGAACAAUAUUCCACAUACAAGGACUUUUUCAGCACCAUGCAUUAGAAAUGGAAGUGAAUGUUUAUUAUUUUUUGUAUAAGUUGGUUGAUACGGCUUUUCAGCUUCCCUCAGUAUCAUUAUCCAAAUUUUGUAGAUGACACUAAAGCUCAGAGGAGUUAAACCAUUUUCCUCAAAUCACAUAGCUUUAAAUAGGAAAACCAGAUAUGAAAAGCAGAUUUUUUUCUAAAUUAAAAAAAAAAAAAAAACUUGAGCUCUUGCUUUACCCUAGCACAUAGUCUCACCAUCUGUUUUCUCCAUGCCAGGUCAUUCAUGUAACAUUCAUUCACAUAACAAAUACAAAUAAAUGAGUGGAUUCAUUCAUCAGCUAUUAAUUCAGAAUCUCUUUUGUGUCUACCACACUAGGCUCAAGACUUCCCAGUGUCUUUGUCUCCUCUCCCUCAAAUCUCUCCACCCAAUGUCUUGACAAAUACUGUAGAUCCUUCCUGCACAGCAUCACCAGAAUGUUUUUCUUUCUUUUCAUUCACCUCUGUCAUCAUCCAUGCUAUGGUGUUUAUGGAGGAUGUAUUCUGCAGCAGGAAGUGUGAUGGGCACUGACGCUGCAGAAAGACUCCUGUUGUCCACCUCGGGAGCUGACACGAUAAAUGCGGCUUGAAUGUGAGGCAACUGUGAAAAGUGCAGGGCAGAGCCACCUGGGUAAAUACAGCCCUGGCUUUCUGGUGAGAGGACUGAAACCAGGAUGUGUCAAGUAACUAGAAUGUGCCUGGACAGAUACUGUAGAAAGCAAACCCAUAAAGUUGUUCAUGAGCUUGUGGACGCACCUGCCAGCUGUGAAUAAGUGGGUCUAAUCCCAAACAACUUACCUAAAAAGAGCCUGAGGACUGAACUAAACAAUGGUCCGCUUUCCAGUCCUCACUGACCACUGGUUGCACACACUCCAGAGAUCUCUCAUCCGCAGUGUCAAGGCUUUCAAAUAGAGUUAUCUGUGAAACAACAACACAUGGAAGUCUGGUUGGUACUUGGAGCUUAAAUACAAGGCAAUUGUGUGCCUGCAAAAACAAAAAGAGCAAUAUUAUCCUUAAGAUUUCAACAAGACACAGUGUCUCAUCACAUAAUCCAAAGAAGUCCAGGUUACAAGCCCCAAAAUAUUCAGCAUUAUGAAAAACCAGGGAGAUCUUAAUUCACAUGGCAAAGAGAAUCCUUGCAUAACAAUAUUGAGAGGACACAUAUGUCAAAAUCAUCUGACACAUACAUUAAAGCAGUUAUUAUAACAAUGCUCCUAGAAUUACGGGAUAGCAUUCAUGAAGUGAAUGGAAAGUUGGAAAGUCUCACCAAAUAUUUGGAAUAUGUAAACACCAAUUUAAACUUAAGAAUUAAAAAAAGUAUUAACCAAAACUAUUAGGGGAAAUAAAAAGCUUAAUUGGAUGAUCUCAAUAGCAGUAUGCAGAAGACUAAGGAAAAAGUCAAUGAACUUGAAAACGGAACAAGAAUACCUACAGAAUCUGACCUAUAGAAAGAAAGGAGGAUUUUAUUGUCCCUGAACAGAGGCUCAGGGACAAAUAAAAAAUAACAAAUCUAACAUUCACAUUAUUGUAAUCUGGAAACAUUCACAUUAUUGUAAGAGGACAAAGAGGUCUUUGUGGGAUAAAACUGUGAAGAAUUAAUGGCUGAAAAUGUAUCAAAUUUCUCAAAAGAUAUAAACCAGAUUUUUAAAGUUCAGUAAAUGUCAAGCAGGAUAAACCAAAAGAAACCCAUUGCAAGACAUAUCAUAAUCAAACUGCGGAAAAUUAAGAAAACACAAAACAAUUUUGAAAGCAGCCAAAGGGAAAUGAAAGAUAAAAUACCAAAUGAAUGAUUGUAGAUUUCUCAUCGGGAACCCAGGAGCCAGAAAAAAAUGUCAUAACAUUCAGUAAAUACCAAAGGAAAAAUACAUUAUCAACCCAGAAUGGUAUGUGGAGCAAAAGUAUCUUCCAGACAUAAAGGCAAAUAAAUGCAUUCUCAUUGGAAGGUAAAUAAAUACAUUCUCAGUCCUAGCAAAACUGCUGGAAAAGAAUUAGCAAAGGUUUGAGAUAAGAAAAGUGAUACCAGAAGGAAACUUAGAACAUCAUCAAUGAAGGAACAAAAGCAGAAAUAGAAAAUGUCUGGGUAGACAUAACAGACUAUUAUUCUUCUCUUGAGUUCCUUAAGGUAUGUUUGAUGGUUGAAAGCAAAAAUUGUAACUUUAUCUGAUGCAGUUGUCAUUGUAUCUAGAUGUACUACAUACAUAAGAUAAAAGGGUAAAUGUAAUGGGACUAACUCUUGAUGAAGUUUCUAUAUUCAACUUGAAUGGUAAAAUAUUGAUUCUUAGUAUACUGUGAAAAGUUAUAUAUGUAUAUGGUAAUCCCUAGACCACUUAACAACCAGAUUGAAAUAAACCAAAACAAGAUAGACAGAGGAACAUAGAAGAAUUAAAACAAAGGGAAAAAAGGUUAAUAAAUUAUUAAAUAGUAGAUCUAUCUAAAAACUUAUCUAUAAUAACAUUAUAUGUAAAUUAUCUAAAUGCAUUAAGUAAAAACUAGAGAUCAUCAGAAUGUGUUAAAAAUAAAUAUGCUGACUAAAGAAAGCCACCUGCAAUACACUUAUAAAUAAGAAUAAAAGUUAUAGAGCAGAUUGAAAGAAAAGAGUGGGAAAAGAUACCUCAUGCAAGCAUUAAUCAAAGACAGCUGUGGUGUAUAUAUAUAAAAUCAGACAAAGUAGAUUUGAAAGCAGAGAAACUUUUCAGGAAUAAUGAGGCCUCCUAAAUAAUUAUGAUUGUCAAUUUUUCAGGAGAAUAUUGUCCCAAAUGUAUAUGAGGACACAGAGCUUCAAAACUCAUAAACAAAAUUGGAUACGCCAAGUAAAAAUAGAAAAAUCCAGUUAUAGUUGCAGUCAUUAACACUCCUCUCUGAGUAAUUGGAAGAUUUAGUGGAACACAAAUCAACAGACAUACUGGAGAAUUGAACCAUGCCAUCCAGUAAUGGACCUAUCAAUUUCAUAAUGCAAAAUAAAAAUUCAGGUAGAAAGCAAAGACAAAAAUUAAAAGAAAAGCAAGAUCAUGUUAUAAUGAGAAAAUUAAGAGUAGUCCAGUGUAUAGAAGGGUGCUAUUAUUGAAAGAGUUUGAAAUAGUGACUUAGUUAUUUUGAAACAUUUUUGAAGACGUUAUUUAGCUGGAAAUGACAGAAAGACUGAAAAUGGUGAAUGUGGAGGUGGAUCUUCCCUUGUCCAUAUUUAUCUUGUCUUCGUUUGAGGUCUGGGGUGUCUAUACUUCCUCUGAAUUACCUGAUCUUACUACAGUGUCUGGCACAGAGCAUCUCCCCAGUGAAUAUGUACUAAAUGAGUAGAAAGUAAUUGAUAGAUUCAAAAGAGUUGUGCAAGAAUAAUGUUCAUUAUUUGACUAAUCACUGAAUGUGGUGUUUCAAGGAAGACAAUGAAUCAAAGUUGACUUGAAAGGUAAGCCCAGGGCCAGACGUGGUGGCUCAUUUCUGUAAUCCCAGCACUUUGGGAGGCCGAGAUCAGUGGAUCCCUUGACACCAGGAG